CCGAGCGCCCCCACUCCGCCCGGCCUUGCUGAAUCCUUCCAUGGCCACCCCAUCGUCCUCCCUCGCUGGAGCGCCGCCGCACGCCGCCAUCACCGCCGCCGAGGUGCUACUACCGCCGCCGGCGCCUCUCCGGUCGCCCCCAACCCCAACCAAGCCCACCUACAGAUAUGAUAGAUGAACCACGUGAAGGACGUGAUAUUGGAACC